AGAGUUUGAUCCUGGCUCAGGAUGAACGCUAGCGGCAGGCUUAACACAUGCAAGUCGAGGGGCAGCGGGGAGGAAGCUUGCUUUCUCCGCCGGCGACCGGCGCACGGGUGAGUAACACGUAUGCAACCUGCCCCUGUCAGGGGGACAACCCGCCGAAAGGCGGGCUAAACCCGCGUACAUGCCACCGGGGCAUCCCGGAGGCAGGAAAGGCUUCGGCCGGACAGGGAUGGGCAUGCGGCGCAUUAGGCAGUAGGCGGGGUAACGGCCCACCUAACCGACGAUGCGUAGGGGUUCUGAGAGGAAGGUCCCCCACACUGGUACUGAGACACGGACCAGACUCCUACGGGAGGCAGCAGUGAGGAAUAUUGGUCAAUGGUCGGGAGACUGAACCAGCCAAGCCGCGUGAGGGAGGAAGGUACAGAGUAUCGUAAACCUCUUUUGUCAGGGAACAAAGGCGGGGACGUGUCCCCGGAUGAGUGUACCUGAAGAAAAAGCAUCGGCUAACUCCGUGCCAGCAGCCGCGGUAAUACGGAGGAUGCGAGCGUUAUCCGGAUUUAUUGGGUUUAAAGGGUGCGCAGGCGGUCUGUUAAGUCAGCGGUCAAAGCCCGGGGCUCAACCCCGGCCCGCCGUUGAAACUGGCAGUCUCGAGUUGGAGAGAAGUAUGCGGAAUGCGCGGUGUAGCGGUGAAAUGCAUAGAUAUCGCGCAGAACUCCGAUUGCGAAGGCAGCAUGCCGGCUCCACACUGACGCUGAGGCACGAAAGCGUAGGUAUCGAACAGGAUUAGAUACCCUGGUAGUCCACGCAGUAAACGAUGAAUGCUGGCUGUCCGGGGGGACUGACCCCUGGGUGGCGAAGCGAAAGCGAUAAGCAUUCCACCUGGGGAGUACGCCGGCAACGGUGAAACUCAAAGGAAUUGACGGGGGCCCGCACAAGCGGAGGAACAUGUGGUUUAAUUCGAUGAUACGCGAGGAACCUUACCCGGGCUCAAACGGGGAGUGCCGCAGGCAGAGACGCCUGUUUCCCACGGGACACUCCCCGAGGUGCUGCAUGGUUGUCGUCAGCUCGUGCCGUGAGGUGUCGGCUUAAGUGCCAUAACGAGCGCAACCCCCGCGUGCAGUUGCUAACAGAUAACGCUGAGGACUCUGCACGGACUGCCGGCGCAAGCCGCGAGGAAGGCGGGGAUGACGUCAAAUCAGCACGGCCCUUACGUCCGGGGCGACACACGUGUUACAAUGGGUGGUACAGCGGGAAGCCAGGCGGCGACGCCGAGCGGAACCCGAAAUCCACUCUCAGUUCGGAUCGGAGUCUGCAACCCGACUCCGUGAAGCUGGAUUCGCUAGUAAUCGCGCAUCAGCCAUGGCGCGGUGAAUACGUUCCCGGGCCUUGCACACACCGCCCGUCA
rnacentral:rRNA from 1 species